rnacentral:rRNA from 1 species
CAUAGCGGUUAUCCCACCUUGUGGAUGUGAUCUCAUGUAAUCUCAGGAGUGAAGCUAGGUUGGGCCUGGUCAUUACUGAAAUGGGAAACCUCAAAGAAAACCAGGUCCAUGCUGUAC